rnacentral:rRNA from 1 species
CGUAGGGUGCAAGCGUUAAUCGGAAUUACUGGGCGUAAAGCGUGCGCAGGCGGUUAUAUAAGUCAGAUGUGAAAUCCCCGGGCUCAACCUGGGAACUGCAUUUGAGACUGUAUGGCUAGAGUGUGUCAGAGGGGGGUAGAAUUCCACGUGUAGCAGUGAAAUGCGUAGAUAUGUGGAGGAAUACCGAUGGCGAAGGCAGCCCCCUGGGAUAACACUGACGCUCAUGCACGAAAGCGUGGGGAGCAAACAGGAUUAGAUACCCUGGUAGUCCACGCCCUAAACGAUGUCUACUAGUUGUCGGGACUUAAUUGUCUUGGUAACGCAGCUAACGCGUGAAGUAGACCGCCUGGGGAGUACGGUCGCAAGGUUG